UACGAAGGAUGCAAGCGUUAUCCGGAUUCAUUGGGUUUAAAGGGAGCGUAGGUGGCCUGAUAAGUCAGUGGUGAAAUCUCGAGGCUUAACCUCGAAAUUGCCAUUGAUACUGUUAGGCUUGAGUAUAGUUCCGUUGGCGGAAUAUGACAUGUAGUGGUGAAAUACAUAGAGAUGUCAUAGAACACCGAUUGCGAAGGCAGCUAACGAAACUAUAACUGACACUGAGGCUCGAAAGUGCGGGGAUCAAACAGG
rnacentral:rRNA from 1 species